AUUUCUCAAGGAUAGAUUACCAAACUGGGUUGCUGGUUCUGGAUAUGUGGCCUUGGUUCGACAAACUACCUAAAGUAAAACCGCUUCCGGUAAGGCUUAUACAUGUGUUUAAUUGGACAUCUAGUAUGUCGAUAUAUGCCUUAAUUCAAUACUUUGAAUAAAUAGGGCGUACGUAAACAACCGGGUGAGGUUGAGUGUGGCUAUUAUGUUAUGCGAUACAUAAAGGAAAUUAUAUAGGAUGAGACACUUUCAUUUCCAACCAAGUGGGCGGUAAAGACACGCAAAUCAUAUAGCCAAGCUCAAAUUGACGAGGUGCGCAUUGAAGUGGCUGAUUAUAUACAGAGUUGGGUGUAGGACUUGUGGCUAUGAAGAAAUUUUUGAGUAAGGCUAGCUAGUUUUUGCUUUGAAGGAAAGUUUGGUGUAUAUAUGUAGAACUGAUAUAGUUGGUUGCUAUUAUGUUUAUGGGCUAGCCUUUGUAGGUUUUGGGGUUUUGGUUUGUGAAUUAUGUAGAAUCAUGAAUGAAGAUGGGAAAAUGAAUGGAAUGCCUCAAUUUUUGGAUGAUA